GAAUAUUUCAAGUCUUAUCGAUAUUGUAAAGCGUCUUAACAGAAAGGAAAAAAAAAAAAAAGAAAAAAAAGAAGAAAAAGAAGGAAAGAAAAGGAAACUCACUUUCUAAAGAAAUUUAUUCUUUCGAUCUUUCGUCAUGACCAACUAACCAAUUCUUCGUGGUCAUAUGUUUUAACAAAAUAUACACUUUCGUAGAAUUUUCUUGACAGACAGAAAGAAAAACAGAAACAAAUUGUCUUGACAAAUCCGAUUAAGAUUUUAAAUGACUUCGAAUUAAGAUCUAUUACUUUGAGAUCUUUUAUUGUCUGAUUUUAUUUGUUCUCGUAAUAAGCGAAAUAAAACAUCACCGAGGUUUAUUUAAUUUUUAAACGAGUUUUCACAAAUCCGUAGAUUUUGUCGAAUAACAUUCACAAAUAAUGAAUAAUACAUUUUUGUUGAUCUUCGUGAUGUUAGAAGAAAAAGA